UGCCAUGUGCACUGCUACUUAUGGAGUUUCCUAGAUUCAAUGGGUGAAUUUCAUCGAUGUGACAUGGCUAUAGAACUGUCGGGUUUGCUUUCAUCUCUACAGAUUAAUUGUAUUGGUGACAAUGAGGCCCGUAACAUGC
rnacentral:snoRNA from 1 species